GUUCCCUAAUCCAUCUUUAACAUUAGAGGAAUGUGGCAGCCAGUGUGUCUGGCUGUUAACCAGAAGGUUGGUGGUUCGAGCCCACCCGGGGACG